UCCAUUCCAAGUGACAACCUAGUUAUGCUUUUCCCCAAGCUCUGACAUUCAGUGUUUGGAACUGCUGGGUAGAUUGCAAAUCACCUUGUCUCGGCCUGAACUGCUGUGCACUUUGAAAGAAUGGAUUCUGGCUACUUGUGUGACUUCAAAGUCAAGCGUUGGGGAAGAGGAUUCCUUCUGAUUGCCAGUAACAAAGCAGGAAAGCAGAAGAAAACUGAAGAUGGCUCCACUAAACGCAGAGAAAAUGAACACACCGGAAUGAAGAGCCAGCAAAUAUACUGACUUGAAAUUAUCCACCAGUGCCCCAUUCAUUUCUGUCUUGCAAGGAGACUGCAACACAAUGGUCUCUGGCAGGUUUAGAACUCUGUACCAUGAAGGAAUACACAUCAUUUUGCUCCAGUUGUGGUUGGCAGCUUCAAAAAGGCCACUGGGUCCAUGUCCAUUCUUUUCUAAUCACUUUUGGAAAUUGUUUGUUUUAGCUAUUAGGAACAACAAGAUUUUUCGUAUUGGAUGAGUAUCUUUCA